GUGCUCGCUUCAGCAGCACAUAUACUGAAAUUGGAAUAAUACAGAGAUUAGCAUGGCCCUUACGCAAGGAUGACACACAAAUUUGUGAAGCAUUCCAUAUUUAA
rnacentral:snRNA from 1 species